rnacentral:lncRNA from 1 species
AAUAUUGAAUUAUUCCCUAGAAUACAAUAAAUUUAUGCAAUGAUGUCAAAUGUUCCUUACUACAAAGCCAGCUAUUUGCAAUGUCACACACAAAGACUGAUUGCAGCUGAAAUGAACCCAGUGUUUCUCUUGAACUCUUCAACUGGCAUCAAAACACUUCUGAGAGCUUUGUUCCCUCUCAGCAUUACAUCACAUCAAUAUCUCAACAGUGCAGCAUCAGGAAUGGCAGCAGAGAGAGGUCCUGCUCCAUCUCCUGCUGCAGCUGGGCCAAAGCAGCCCCCUUGGGCACUAAGCCCAAAGGUGCUCUGCUGA